rnacentral:tmRNA from 1 species
GGGGCCGAUGUGGUUUCGACCGUGCAGGGAAGGCUUGAUGAUGCGUGUCGAGGGGCGUGCUGGCCUCGUAAAAAGCACGCAAACACUAUGACUGCCGAACCGCAGUACGCAAUGGCAGCCUAAAGGGCUUCCGAUCCGUCGCUCGACGUCCGAUACGGCGGCGGGUCAAGACAUCGGGCUGGCAGAGUCGGGGUGCAACCGGCCGAUUCUGCGAGGAGGUUCACCGGUCGCUGGGCCGAAGUGCAGGCUGUUGCUGGCCGGCACCACGCCGAGAUUCAAAACAGCAACUACACACGUAGACGCAUCCUGCUGACUGCAUUGGGACGGGGGUUCGAUUCCCCCCGGCUCCAUUU